rnacentral:rRNA from 1 species
UGAACGCUGGCGGCAGGCCUAACACAUGCAAGUCGAGCGGUAGAGAGAAGCUUGCUUCUCUUGAGAGCGGCGGACGGGUGAGUAAUGCCUAGGAAUCUGCCUAGUGGUGGGGGAUAACGUUCGGAAACGGACGCUAAUACCGCAUACGUCCUACGGGAGAAAGCGGGGGACCUUCGGGCCUCGCGCCAUUAGAUGAGCCUAGGUCGGAUUAGCUAGUUGGUGAGGUAAUGGCUCACCAAGGCGACGAUCCGUAACUGGUCUGAGAGGAUGAUCAGUCACACUGGAACUGAGACACGGUCCAGACUCCUACGGGAGGCAGCAGUGGGGAAUAUUGGACAAUGGGCGAAAGCCUGAUCCAGCCAUGCCGCGUGUGUGAAGAAGGUCUUCGGAUUGUAAAGCACUUUAAGUUGGGAGGAAGGGUAGUAACUUAAUACGUUGCUACUUUGACGUUACCGACAGAAUAAGCACCGGCUAACUUCGUG